CCAUGCGUCAGGGAAGUGAGGUGAAAAUCCUCCACAGUGCCGCUACGGUCAUAGUCCGAGCACUGACGCAAGG
rnacentral:ncRNA from 2 species